GACGAACGCUGGCGGCGUGCUUAACACAUGCAAGUCGAACGGAAAGGCCCUGCUUUUGUGGGGUGCUCGAGUGGCGAACGGGUGAGUAACACGUGAGUAACCUGCCCUUGACUUUGGGAUAACUUCAGGAAACUGGGGCUAAUACCGGAUAGGAGCUCCUGCUGCAUGGUGGGGGUUGGAAAGUUUCGGCGGUUGGGGAUGGACUCGCGGCUUAUCAGCUUGUUGGUGGGGUAGUGGCUUACCAAGGCUUUGACGGGUAGCCGGCCUGAGAGGGUGACCGGCCACAUUGGGACUGAGAUACGGCCCAGACUCCUACGGGCGGCAGCGGUGGGGAAUAUUGCACAAUGGGCGGAAGCCUGAUGCAGCAACGCCGCGUGCGGGAUGACGGCCUUCGGGUUGUAAACCGCUUUCGCCUGUGACGAAGCGUGAGUGACGGUAAUGGGUAAAGAAGCACCGGCUAACUACGUG
rnacentral:rRNA from 1 species